rnacentral:rRNA from 1 species
CACCUCACCCUACUGAUACCUUUGUGUGUGAAGAACGCAGCUAGCUGCGAGAAUUAGUGUGAAUUGCAGGACACAUUGAUCAUCGACACUUCGAACGCACCUUGCGGCCCCGGGUUCCUCCCGGGGCCACGCCUGUCUGAGGGUCG